rnacentral:misc_RNA from 1 species
GAUGAAGAACGCAGCGAAAUGCGAUAAGUAAUGCGAAUUGCAGAAUUCAGUGAGUCAUCGAAUCUUUGAACGCACAUUGCGCCCUGUGGUAUUCCGCAGGGCAUGCCAGUUCGAGCGUCAUUUCAACCCUCAAGCUCUGCUUGGUGUUGGGCCCUGCCCGCUGCGGCCGGCCCUAAAGACAGUGGCGGUGCCGCCUGGCCCUGAGCGUAGUACAUCUCUCGCUCCAGUGCCCGGUGGUAGCCUGCCAGAACCCCAACUCUCGUGGUUGACCUCGGAUCAGGUAGGGAUACCCGCUGAACUUAAGCAUAUCAAUAAGCGGAGGA